rnacentral:lncRNA from 1 species
UUUUUUUUUUUUUUUUUUUUUUUUGGAAGGGUGGUCCAGAGAAGGGGCAUCGAACUCAGCAUGAGGGAAUCUGGAAACACAUCCCAAAAAAGUGAUUGAAUUGACCUAAGCCUUAAAGGAUAAGUAGAGGUUGGCUAGGCAAAGGAGACAUGAAAGGGCAUUGCAAAGAGAGGGAACAGAGUAUGCAAAGGCAUUUCUGAACUCAUGGUAAUAAUGGUUGUCCUUCUUGUCUCAAAUUGUCCUCUUCUUUCUAUCCUCUCACCUAUUCGCAUGUCACAAUGGGAGAUAGAAAGCCAGCGAAGAAUCAGACCAAGAGUUGCUCCACAGGAUGCUUAUGUUCUGGCAUACCUAGCAGAGGAAAGGGGGUAAAGGGAUAAAUUUGGGGUUAGAAUAACUGAAUUUGGGCUCAGGCACUUCAUCCACAUAAACUCCAUUUAACUCUAAGGCUCGAAAGACCGAUAUGUGAGGGAAUCAUCACAUCAACCUUGCAAAUUUUUCCUUUUGAUCCUUUAUUCCUAUUUUAUAAAUGAGGAAACGGAAGGUCAGAGAGGUGAUGUCACCUGCUUGAAGUAACUCUGUUAGUAAGUGGCAUGAUUUGGGGUUUGAACUCAGGAAAGUUUGGCUCCAAAACCUGUGUUCCCAUGUUCUCAGCUUCUGAAAACCUUCUCUCCCUUGAAAGCAUGAUGUCUUUUAGUAACAAUAGCUAAAAAUCAUUUAUUGCAAGCUCAGUCUAUAAUUUCAAACUGCUUCCCUCAACAUGUCAGUCCUUUGAGCCUUAGAUUUAUCAGCUGUAAAGGAAGACUGUGGUAGAAAAUACUACUGUUCAUCAAUAUUCAGUUCCUUUCUACUUUUAGUAAUACAGGGAUGUUAUACCUCUUUUCUUCCUUGAAGCUAGAUAUGGCCAUAUGGCUUGCUCUGACCAAUGAAAUAUGAGUAGAAGUGACAUGUGUCACUUUAGGGUGGAAGCAUUUAAGAGAUCGUGUGAUUCUCUGUCUUCUCUUAACGCUACUACUAGACAACAUUCCGAAUGAUAGUACCUCCACCAGCCUGGGUUUCUGUGUAAAAGUGACAUAUACCAGAGUCCUCCACUGGCUGGCAAUGGAUAUGAAUGAGUGUAUUACACACACAUGCACACACACACACAUACACACACACUUUCAUUGGUUUAAGCCACUAAAAUUCUGGAGUUGUUUGUCAUCUCAGCAUAACCUAUUAUAUCCUAACCAAUAUAGAGGUUAAUGGUCUCUAUUUCACAGAUUUGUUGUAAGGAUCAAUGGAAUAAUGGAAGUAGAAGUGCUUUAUAAAUUCUGAGGCUGUGUGCACUUGCCAAGUGGUAUGUCUGAGUUCAGGUCCUAUUGAACUGUGCUCUAAUGGAAUAUCACUAUACAAAUAAGAUAUUUUUAGACACUUGUAUCUUUUUACAUUAUGGGCAGAUAUUUACUUGUCUGCAUAGCAUUCUUGUGUGGGAGGCUUCCCUUUUAUGGAUAAGAAGGGACCAAUUCUGAAAACUG